GAUGAACGCUGGCGGCGUGCCUAAUACAUGCAAGUCGAGCGAACGGACGAGAAGCUUGCUUUUCUGAUGUUAGCGGCGGACGGGUGAGUAACACGUGGAUAACCUACCUAUAAGACUGGGAUAACUUCGGGAAACCGGAGCUAAUACCGGAUAAUAUUUUGAACCGCAUGGUUCAAAAGUGAAAGACGGUCUUGCUGUCACUUAUAGAUGGAUCCGCGCUGCAUUAGCUAGUUGGUAAGGUAACGGCUUACCAAGGCAACGAUGCAUAGCCGACCUGAGAGGGUGACCGGCCACACUGGAACUGAGACACGGUCCAGACUCCUACGGGAGGCAGCAGUAGGGAAUCUUCCGCAAGGGGGGAAAGCUUGACGGAGCAACGCGGCGGGAGUGAGGAAGGGCUUCGGAUCGUAAAACUCUGUUAUUAGGAAAGAACAGAUGUGUAAGUAACUGUGCACAUCUUGACGGUACCUAAUAAGAAAGCCACGGCUAACUACGU
rnacentral:rRNA from 1 species